UACGUAGGGGGCGAGCGUUGUCCGGAUUUAUUGGGCGUAAAGAGCUCGUAGGCGGCUUGGCAAGUCGGGUGUGAAACCUCCAGCUCAACCUGGAGACGCCACUCGAUACUGCCAUGGCUAGAGUCCGGUAGGGGACCACGGAAUUCCUGGUGUAGCGGUGAAAUGCGCAGAUAUCAGGAGGAACACCGAUUGCGAAGGCAGCUCGCUGGGACGUCACUGACGCUGAGACGCGAAAGCGUGGGGAGCAAACAGG
rnacentral:rRNA from 1 species